rnacentral:misc_RNA from 1 species
AAAGUCCGAUCCCACGAUCGUCGUCGCCCCAAAAUCAACACAACAAAGUUUACGUCCGUCUGGCCAUCCAAUGCCUUUAAUGCAGUUUUUUUAGGGUGGCAGCCUAGGUCACCUGAGACUCACAUCAGAAUACAUAUGCAUUCACAAGCUGUCCAAACCAACCCUUUCCACCCCAUAUUAGAUGAAGGGAAGAUGUCAGGAAUGGAAAGUUACUGGCUCUUUAGUAUCUUCUAAAGGUAUGUUAUAAUAUCCACUUGGCAGAUAAUGCCAGCAUGUCUUAAAAAUUGAGUAAAGUAGAAAACAGACAAAUGUGGCCAAGGCUUAUACAGGGUAUAAGAAAGUAGAAUACUAGGGCCCAGGGCAGAGGGGCAACAGCAGCAGCAUUCUAAAUGCAAAAAUGCAACACAAAUGUUGCAGGGCCAAGGGACACCCCAGGCAGAGUUGAAAGCCAACACUCAGAAGAACCACCCAAAAUAAGGCAUGUAUUUAGUGCUUGGCUGAACAUCAGCCAAGCAGUAAGGAAAUGCAGAGCGAGUGCAGACCGCUACUUGGCUGAAACCAAAAAUCCCAGAGAAAUGGCAGAAAACCAAGAGGCAGAAGAUCUUGAUUAAAGGACUGGAAAUCUAUGCACAUACCCUCAAAUCAAAUGCCUGAGGCCCCAGCUGAAAAGAACAAGAUACAGCUCCAUUAACCAGGGCCAUUCAAAUAAACCUGGCACCCAGCCUUGUCCACCAGAAAUUUUGUUGAGAAGCCAUACAUUUGUAUUCUCUGUUUCCUGCAUUCUGUCUAAUUCUUUUCUUCAUCCCAGUACAUUUUGCAAUAGUGAUUCUUCUUUUGCAAGCCUUUCAAACUCUCCUGUGCUUUUCUUCUUUCUUGGCAUGUAAUGUCUGCAUAUCUUGUCCCAACCACAUUAGCAUACUGCCUGCUUCAUCACCUUGCUGCUACUAUGUUCCAAGGUUAACCCUGCUGACUCAAUGGCAGAUUAAUAUCUUAUAAUUACUCCUAAUGUGAUUUAUGCUUUAUAUUUUUACUUAAAUUUUUCAUUGCUUUAGUACUGUUUUGCUUUUGGUUACAAUUAGCAUACAUACAUGCUCUCUUUACGUUUUUAGAUAAUGACUCUGAAGAGCUCUGACUAUAUAACCACUGGGCAGUCGCCUAUAUGUAAUUACCGAAGUGUAGUUACAAAAUGAGAACUACACUUGCAAUGUCCCAUCUCCCCUGUAAUCUGUCAUGUGAUUAUAGGGAAGACAAGGACACCAUGAACAUAGCUCUCUUCCAAUAACUACACUUUGGGGUGUGUAUAUGCUCAUUAGUUUUACAUAAGUUGUUUGCAGAAAUUUUGUAUAUUUAUCUUACAGCAUUCCAGAAGCAUUAUAUUUUAUUCAUCUAUAAAGAAAUAUAUUUUAUUAUAAUUUUGCUCUGUUAACUCAUGUAGCUAUAACAAAUGUGUUAAGUUUUUGUAAAUAAACUGGUUUUAUUUUA